rnacentral:tRNA from 1 species
UCUUCCUUGGUCUAGUGGUCAUGAUUUCCGCGUAUGUCUGCCCGUCUAUUGUAGCUCCAUCGCCCAGUGCUUACAAUGUCACAGUUGUCAUUAAACCGACAAGCCGCGGGAGAGUAAGCGCUUCGCUUUCCAAUUCAAGACAAUCGAAUUCUAACAGUCGCACAGCCGGGGUUCGAUUCCCCGAGGGAGAG